rnacentral:rRNA from 1 species
GACGAACGCUGGCGGCGUGCUUAACACAUGCAAGUCGAACGGAAAGGCCCUGCUUUUGUGGGGUGCUCGAGUGGCGAACGGGUGAGUAACACGUGAGUAACCUGCCCUUGACUUCGGGAUAACUUCAGGAAACUGGGGCUAAUACCGGAUAGGAGCUCCUGCUGCAUGGUGGGGGUUGGAAAGUUUCGGCGGUUGGGGAUGGACUCGCGGCUUAUCAGCUUGUUGGUGGGGUAGUGGCUUACCAAGGCUUUGACGGGUAGCCGGCCUGAGAGGGUGACCGGCCACAUUGGGACUGAGAUACGGCCCAGACUCCUACGGGAGGCAGCAGUGGGGAAUAUUGCACAAUGGGCGGAAGCCUGAUGCAGCAACGCCGCGUGCGGGAUGACGGCCUUCGGGUUGUAAACCGCUUUCGCCUGUGACGAAGCGUGAGCGACGGUAAUGGGUAAAGAAGCACCGGCUAACUACGUG